rnacentral:rRNA from 1 species
GAUGAACGCUGGCGGCGUGCCUAAUGCAUGCAAGUCGAGCGAACAGACGAGGAGCUUGCUCCUCUGACGUUAGCGGCGGACGGGUGAGUAACACGUGGAUAACCUACCUAUAAGACUGGGAUAACUUCGGGAAACCGGAGCUAAUACCGGAUAAUAUAUUGAACCGCAUGGUUCAAUAGUGAAAGACGGUUUUGCUGUCUCUUAUAGAUGGAUCCGCGCCGCAUUAGCUAGUUGGUAAGGUAACGGCUUACCAAGGCAACGAUGCGUAGCCGACCUGAGAGGGUGAUCGGCCACACUGGAAGUGAGACACGGUCCAGACUCCUACGGGAGGCAGCAGUAGGGAAUCUUCCGCAAUGGGCGAAAGCCUGACGGAGCAACGCCGCGUGAGUGAUGAAGGUCUUCGGAUCGUAAAACUCUGUUAUUAGGGAAGAACAAAUGUGUAAGUAACUAUGCACGUCUUGACGGUACCUAAUCAGAAAGCCACGGCUAACUACGUG